rnacentral:rRNA from 1 species
GGUCUUCGGAUGCUGACGAGUGGCGAACGGGUGAGUAAUACAUCGGAACGUGCCUAGUAGUGGGGGAUAACUACUCGAAAGAGUAGCUAAUACCGCAUGAGAUCUACGGAUGAAAGCAGGGGACCUUCGGGCCUUGUGCUACUAGAGCGGCUGAUGGCAGAUUAGGUAGUUGGUGGGGUAAAGGCUUACCAAGCCUGCGAUCUGUAGCUGGUCUGAGAGGACGACCAGCCACACUGGGACUGAGACACGGCCCAGACUCCUACGGGAGGCAGCAGUGGGGAAUUUUGGACAAUGGGCGAAAGCCUGAUCCAGCAAUGCCGCGUGCAGGAUGAAGGCCCUCGGGUUGUAAACUGCUUUUGUACGGAACGAAAAGCCUGGGGCUAAUAUCCCCGGGUCAUGACGGUACCGUAAGAAUAAGCACCGGCUAACUACGUGCCAGCAGCCGCGGUAAUACGUAGGGUGCAAGCGUUAAUCGGAAUUACUGGGCGUAAAGCGUGCGCAGGCGGUUUUGUAAGACAGUGGUGAAAUCCCCGGGCUCAACCUGGGAACUGCCAUUGUGACUGCAAGGCUAGAGUGCGGC